rnacentral:rRNA from 1 species
GACGAACGCUGGCGGCGUGCUUAACACAUGCAAGUCGAACGGAAAGGCCCUGCUUUUGUGGGGUGCUCGAGUGGCGAACGGGUGAGUAACACGUGAGUAACCUGCCCUUGACUUUGGGAUAACUUCAGGAAACUGGGGCUAAUACCGGAUAGGAGCUCCUGCUGCAUGGUGGGGGUUGGAAAGUUUCGGCGGUUGGGGAUGGACUCGCGGCUUAUCAGCUUGUUGGUGGGGUAGUGGCUUACCAAGGCUUUGACGGGUAGCCGGCCUGAGAGGGUGACCGGGCACAAGGGGACAUGGAUACGGCCCCGGCCGCCACGGGAGGGAACAGGGGGGAAAUAGUCCACAAGGGGCGGAAGCAGGGGGCAAAAACCCGGGGUGGGGAAAGACGGCCUCGGGGUGGAAACCCCCUUUGCCCGUGAACGAAGCGGGAGGGAGGGAAAGGGGUAAAAAACCCCGGCUAAACACGUG